CACGGUUCUGCAGGAAGAAAACGGGCUGAGUGAUGGGAACUUUUCGUUUACUAUGUCUCCAGCACUCUGUUGGGCCUAAACCUCCUAGUCCCACGACGAGCUUGUUGGUGUCAAGAUUAGGUUUCUGAUGAAUUGUCUGCUUGAUGAAUUUGGAACCUGUGUGCCAGAGGUGGUGACCUGAGAAAUUGUGGCGGAGAGAAGUGAUUAACUUUUUUCCUUGGAGUUUUGCGGAGCAUGAAUCAUACAUUUGAAAAUUUGAAAUUCCAGUCUGAAGGCUUCACCUCGCGUGGUGACAUAGCCACUGUGUUGAAUGCUUGUUCUGGUAAUCUCCAAUUGUCUCUUCUCCAUUCAGGUGAUGUCGCAAUCUCCUCUGCAUCUACUUUCCCCCUCGAAGUGGAUUUCAUGGUUUCCCACUCCUCCAUUGCCAUAAUCAAAUCCUUGGGACUGUUUUGUUUAGACUUUUCGCGAUUAUUACAUCCCAUUUUUCUGUCACUAAUCACAAAUGCGGAUUCAAAUGACGAUUUCUUAAAAUCAAAAUUUGAAGCUGUCUCAGCAGCGGCAGCCCAACCGGUGCUUGCUUGUUUGGGUUUCAAUGGUUGCUUUGGUCGAGGUUUCACUCAGCGGACUACGGAUCUCUCUAGCAAUUGAGGCAUUUGUGGAGAACGCCGCCGCAGCUGCUUGAUAAGUUUCGCAUGGUGAAGGAGGAUGGUGGAAAGGUCUUUGCCGUCGAAGAGUGAAGCUUAUGGCAUUAUGAUCUGAUUUUUUGUCCAAGGGAAGGAUCUGGAUUUCCUUCAACAAGUGUCGAGCUCUGGAAAGGGGUGCGAGAAUGCAGUCCACAACACUGGUGCUCCUACACGUUGUCUCUCCCGAUCUUGGCCAAACCUAGACAAGGAAAUACUCCGCAUCAGUAGUUUGGGACGAUGAGCAUAUUAGUAUCUUCCUUUGCAUCUCUAACUCUCUUCGUAUUAGAACACACACAUCUUGAUUGCUUCUUGUGCAGAGUAGUUUACUUGGGUGACACCAUUGCAGAUGAUUAAAUCGUUCGUGUCGCAAACAUCCAUCAGCGAAAGACCGAACUUAUUAAUAUUCUUGUCCGCAGAGUCACGUGACAACCCUUGCCGCUGCGCUUCACAAGCUUGUGCAUCACCUAUCCGGCUGUUGAAAUCACCCACAACGAGGAAAUUGCGAGCAUUUUUCUUCUUCGAUAACGAGAAGAUGUCAUUACUAAGACUCUUGUAAGGAAAACUCGGUUCGAGUCGGUCACGGCCAUCGUAAGCUGAGGAGGAAAUCGGGGGAAAGUAGCAAACAGCUGCAAAGAGGUCUUUCUCGAAUCCAAGGGCUUUGUCAAGCUUGAGCCAGAGGUAAUGGCCCUGAGGAUCAAUUUUGUAACCUAAAAUGUGGAAUGAAUAGUCGUGCUUGUAGUAGCAUGCCACGCCGCCGCGAUUCCCAGCUUUGUCACUUCUGCAAGAUAUCAGGUCAUAGUCCUGCAAUGUGAGCGCCGAAGAGAUUUGUUAGCAUGGUAUGUUCCACCCAAACCUUGCAAUUGACCACGGAAGACAGUUACACCCAGCUCUUGACAGCCAUAUCUCAAAAGAUUACCAGCAAUUCAGGCAGAUGGUGACCUUUCCGCUGCCAUGUGUCGGAUAGAAAUAGAAGGUCCACCUAUGAAAGUUUCAUUCAUGAGUUACAACAAACACCACCACAAGAUUACCAAUAUCUUUUAAAAAGUAUCAUGAACCAAUUUCAACAAACAAAACGAAGCUGCGAGUCAACAAUCACGACAGAGGAACGACAAUGGCUGCAAUGCAGGUUUUGGACUUGAGGCACAAACAAGCAAAUGUUGAUAUACCAUUGGAAUUAUUGUUGUUUGUGGGUUUAAAUGCGAUCUUAUAAAUGAAUUUCAAGUAAAAGAAAUAUUCCCCUGA